rnacentral:rRNA from 1 species
UACGGAGGGUGCAAGCGUUAUCCGGAUUCACUGGGUUUAAAGGGUGCGUAGGUGGGUCUGUAAGUCAGUGGUGAAAUCUCCGAGCUUAACUCAGAAACUGCCAUGGAUACUAUUUGUCUUGAAUACUGUGGAGGUAAGCGGAAUAUGUCAUGUAGCGGUGAAAAUGCUUAGAUAUGACAUGGAACACCAAUUGCGAAGGCAGCUUACUACACAGCUAUUGACGCUGAGGCACGAAAGCGUGGGGAUCAAACAGG